UUAUGAUUCAUGCAGACGCUGGCUGGGCUCCUGCCAGCCUGGCCUGAGGAGGCUCCACAGUUGGAACUGGAUAGGCCUGAAAAUAUGGCCCCCCCGGGACUGCCCGGGCCACGCUCUAGGGAGCUGGGCGGGCCAGAGGCCUGGAGGGGGUUCUGAGAAUCGGGAAAUGGAGACACAUGGCUGCCUCGGCCUUCUUCUGUCUGUGCAGCUGGAGCCCCAGGGAGAAAUCUACAGCCAUUACCCAACCAGACAGAGCAAAAAGAAAUGAGUUUAAAGUACCAGAAGGAGGACUCGGAUAAUAAUAAUGUAGUGAGUGGCUUGGGCAGCAACUGUUGCAAUAAUAUUACCUCCCAUUUGCGCAGGACUUUACUGUGCACAAAAUGCUUUGCCAUAUAUUAUCAUAUUUGACCCUCACAACAAUGCUGCGAAAUAGGCAGCCUUCACCUGGAUUUGCAAGGAAGGAGGGUGGAACUCAGAGGAAUUCAUUUGCCAAAAGUUGCACAGCCAGUUAGGAAGCCUGUCUUCCAAGUUCACUGCGCAGAAGGAGAUCUACCUGAGCGAACGAGAACACUGGGCAGCUCGGCACUAAAGGAACACCACGGGUUUAGGAACAGAGGCCUCCUUAAGAAGUUUGAAUGAAAUUUAGAAAGAAUCUGGCUGGGGAAAAUGAAAUGACCCCCGAGAGCUCCAAGUUCAUGCCAGGAUAGCUGGGAAGGCGGAAAGGCCAUGGCCGUGAACAUGGAGUGUGGUACUCAUGCCUUCGAACAUUUACUCUGGUAGCACAGGGAUGAUGGUGACUCUGCUCCUACUUUUAGACACCAGCGGAUGAAGGUGAUGGGACCAACAAUGAAAUGCUCUGUCCAGGCUUCAGACCAGUCCCCAUGGCUCAUCUGCGGAUCACCUCGUAUCGCCUUUUGCACCUCGCUCUGAGGGGCUCUGGGCCAAGCGACGGCAGGCUCCUUCCAUCUCCGCGGAAGCCUGUGAUGCAUUCCUCAGGGGAACACCUUCCUUUUUUUCCCUCCAUGAAUGGAGAACAACGUUCGCAGAAGCUCCGAGUCCCCAUUGGGAGAGAGAAAAGAUCGGCGCGUUUCACGGAUGCUGAAGCCAGAUUCUGAGACGGAUGACAAAGUCAUCGCUAAUUGCGGCCAAUUACUCUACCCGGUGGUAUUGGUAAGGAAAAUGACUUCAAGCCCCAGAGUUGUCUAGGAAAGAAUUACCAUA
rnacentral:lncRNA from 1 species